ensembl:lncRNA
CGAUAAUUAACUGGUCCUGCAGAGAGCUGAAAAUAAGCACUUCCCAAGCAAGUAGCAAACUCCCCUGGGUUUUUUUCUGCUAAAGUUACAACUCAGCAUGAAACUGCUCCAGCCUCACAGGGACACAGAUCAUCUCCGCACCUCCCUGCCACAGCCUGGGAUGCCACCACAGUCGCAGGCAGCUGAAUACAGGUUUUCUGCUCCUCCAUGGCUCUGGCAUCCUUCAUCCCCCUGCAGCGCCAGCCCUGGGGCUCCACACCUCAGCUUCUGACUCAGCCAUGGAGGAGGGAAAAUGGCAGGGCUGGAGCAGGCGUGGAGGGCUCUGCGCUGAAGCCACCGUGCAGCUGGCAAUGCCAUCCCUGCAUCAAGGAACCUUCUGCCUAUGGAAGUGAAAACCCACCGGAUAUUUUUGCCAGCCUGGUGACCACAGCCACCACGUCAGGAGGGGGUGAGUAUCCAGAUGCUUCCUCUUUGGUAAUUUGCUGCAAAAUGGCCCUGGAGAGCCAGUCCCAGGGUGCCACAGGCUGGGGAGCCCUAAGCUCUGCGGGAGGUGGAGCAGAGCUGGGGACUCGGCUCCCUGGAAUGCUGCUGGAGGAACGGGAGGUGUGGGAUGGUGGCCAUAAACCUCCUUCACUUGCCACGUCGUGCCAGAGGCUGCAGCUGUGAUUAAUCAAAGGCCAAAAAGAGGUGAUGGGCAAUCGAUGCCUUUGGGGGCUGAUGGGGAAGGUGCAGGCAGAGCCCAGCACACACCACACCCUCCUGGCUCCAGCAGCUCUGCCAGGGUGUUUGGGGAGCUGGACCAGGUGUGGUUUUCCCAUUCUGCUUCUCCCAACAGCUGGAUGGAUGUUCCAUGUCUCAUUAUCCUGGGUUAGCACUGUGUGGCCAUGGUCAGGCAUUUAAAAACUGAGUCUCACUGGGAUCUCUCCAUCACAGCCCACAUCCAAACUUCGUGUGGAUGCAUUCCUGCCCUGCAGCAAUCAGUGGAAUGACAGAAAUCUUUCCAAAAGUGGAAUUAAAUCUGAUGAGCAAUAGGCUCAUCAGGAAAAUGGGAGCAGAGAAGGCAGCUAGCCCCGUGACCCCAGUCCAAGGAGGUUCACUUCCCUCCCUCGAGGAGAAAGGGAUCCCCUGAAGUGGAUGGGCUGACCCCAGUCAGGGAGAUGCCAGGAGCUGGAUCCCAGCUCUGCUCCCUGCUGAAGGCACACGUGCAGCAGAGCCUGGGAGCAGGGCUGUGCUUCAGGCUGCCACUGGCAUUGAGGCUGGAGAGGAAAACCAAGCACUCCAGAGAGAAAAUGUCCGUAGGGGAUCCCAGCGCCCAUCUAGGGGGGAUGUACUGAUUUGUGCACUUAAUAUUGGCUUAGAUAAAGGGUUUCCCAGUGCUCGGGCACUGGGAUGCCCUGGAAGAGAUUCAAGUUUCAAUCUCUUGUAAGGCUUGUUGAGUGUGGACCAUCCCCUCAAGGACUUGGAAUGGAGCAGUUAAUGCUGACAUGACUUAGGACCAUUUAGGAGCUGAGUCCAGAUGGUGCAAGGGUGUCACCACAUCCCUCUCCACCACUGGGCCUCUCUCCUCAUCCUGACUCCUCCAGUCCCCUCAGUGGCACACACUAGGGACUCCAGUAGCCACUCCCAGGGUGUCAUAGCCAGGGGCAUGUGGGGCCAAGGUUCCCAGUCCCGUGAGAUGCUCAAAACCAGGUGAGUGAGCAAAGAUCCCUAUGGUCACUCCCCUAUCACCCACAGCCCAGUCAGUCACUGUGUUCCAAAACCUUUGCCUAAAAAAAACCAGUUUCCAAGGUUAAAAAAGAAAAAUAUUUAAAAUCAACCUCCAGGCUCUCCUGUCUGCACAGGAAGGGCACCAAGGGCUGCUGUCCAUGGAGCCAGGGGGUGGUUUGGGACGAGCCCACGGUGCAGGCCGUGUCCCCGCUGCCCUCUGUGUCCCCAUGUGCCAGGUGGCAC